rnacentral:tRNA from 1 species
UGGUGACACGAGGAUUUUCAGUCCUCUGCUCUACCAGCUGAG